GCGGGAAACUUGAGGCCAAUAUGCGAUAUAACUCUCAUGCUGGAGUGCAGAGAGUUAGAAACGUUCCGGCGCUGUAGGAUGUGGCUGCGGCCGAUUAGGUAGAUGGUGGGGUAACGGCCCAUGCCGAUAAUCGG
rnacentral:rRNA from 1 species